rnacentral:rRNA from 1 species
UACGAAGGGGGCUAGCGUUGUUCGGAAUUACUGGGCGUAAAGCGCGCGUAGGCGGAUCAUCAAGUCGGGGGUGAAAUCCCGGGGCUCAACCCCGGAAUGGCCUUCGAGACUGGUGGUCUUGAGUUCGAGAGAGGUGAGUGGAAUUCCGAGUGUAGAGGUGAAAUUCGUAGAUAUUCGGAAGAACACCAGUGGCGAAGGCGGCUCACUGGACUGGUAUUGACGCUGAGGUGCGAAAGCGUGGGGAGCAAACAGG